UACGGAGGGAGCUAGCGUUGUUCGGAAUUACUGGGCGUAAAGCGCGCGUAGGCGGCUUUGUAAGUUAGAGGUGAAAGCCCGGGGCUCAACCCCGGAAUUGCCUUUAAGACUGCAUCGCUUGAAUCCGGGAGAGGUGAGUGGAAUUCCCGGUGUAGCGGUGAAAUGCGCAGAUAUCGGGAGGAACACCAAUGGCGAAGGCAGCUCGCUGGGACGGUACUGACGCUGAGGCGCGAAAGCGUGGGGAGCAAACAGG
rnacentral:rRNA from 1 species